rnacentral:rRNA from 1 species
GUCUUAAAGAAUUUAAUUUUAAGUCUAAUCUGCCCAAUGAAUUUUUUUAAUGGCUGCAGGAUUUAACUGUACAAAGGUAGCAUAAUAAUUUGUUUUUUAAUUAAAAACUUGAAUGAAAGAUUGAAUGAAAUAUAAACUGUUUCAAUUAAAUUUAUUAUUAAAUUUUUUAUUUAAGUAAAAAAACUUAAAUAAUUUUUAAAGACGAUAAGACCCUAUAGAAUUUUAUUUAUUUUUAUUUAUAAUUAAAAAAAAUAAAUUUUAUUGGGGCAAUAAAAAAAUUAAAUUAAUUUUUUUUUAAAAAAACAUUUUUUAAUGAAUUUUUUAUCUUAAAAUUUAAAUUUUAAAAAUUAAUUACCUUAGGGAUAACAGCAUAAUUUUUUUUAAAAGACCAUAUUAAUAAAAAAGAUUAU